UACGUAGGGAGCAAGCGUUGUCCGGAAUCAUUGGGCGUAAAGAGCGUGUAGGCGGCUUGUUAAGUCUUGCGUGAAAUCUCGGGGCUCAACCCCGAGCGGUCGUGAGAAACUGGCAGGCUAGAGUGCGGGAGAGGAGAGUGGAAUUCCUGGUGUAGCGGUGAAAUGCGCAGAUAUCAGGAAGAACACCCGUGGCGAAGGCGGCUCUCUGGAACGCAACUGACGCUGAGACGCGAAAGCGUGGGGAGCAAACAGG
rnacentral:rRNA from 1 species